rnacentral:lncRNA from 1 species
GGAGCGGCGAUCAGAGGCCUGGGUUCUGCGGGAAGUGGGGAGGGCGAGGGAGGCGGGGAGGCGGUGGCGCCUCCGGGGAGAGACCUGAGGCCGAGGCCUGAGCCUCCCGCCCCUCUGCGGGCGCCUCCCGGGCUCCGCCCCCUGCCCGCCCUCCCCCCUCCCCCCCCUUGGCGUAACCAGUAGGCGCUCCCUAAAUGCUCCCUCUCUCCCUCUCCUUGGCCCCACCCGCCACGUCUGGGGUAAAGCGCCCCCUCCUCAGGCAGCCCCCCCGUUUCCUAGCCUCGCUGGCUGACGCCCUGGGUUUCCACGCCCUGCGUUUCUAGCCUCCGUGCAUUUGCUCAGGCUGUGCCGGGAAGGGCAUUCUCCGUCUUUGCCCUCGGAGCCUCAGCUCAAGGCUUGGCCCUUGGGAGAGCCCUCUGCCCUCCCCCUCCUCUGCAUCUUUGGUCCCCGUCACCCAGCCUUGCUCAUCUUAGUGACAGCCCGCCAUUUGUUCACCAGAGUGGACCUUAAGGCACGUGCUACUCCUGGCCAUUGUCCAGAUGAGGAAACUGAGGCUGGGGACAUGAGGCGUCCAACCCAGCUGGAGUCCCAUUCCAGGGAUUCCAGGGCCUCCUCCUCCCUGUUGGAGGCCCUCCUUGGUUUUGUAGCCCUGCCCGGGGCUACGGGGGGGAUGGCCAAGCCCUGGGGAGCUCCUCUCAUGGUGUGUUUUUCCUCUCCAGCUCCGCCUUCUCAACGCUCAAGAGAAGGGAGCUUUGCGGCAAUAGCCAUGGCCCCUUUGUUCCCCAGAUCCAGAGCCCACGAGGAUUACUACGCCGACUUCCAGCACAAGUAGGAGAAAAGCCGAAGGUGGCACAUAUUGGGAUUGCAGAACCUUAGGGGCCUUAGAGACCCCCCAGUCCAAGCCAUCUGCAGAGAGGUUGCAUAUCCUGGGUCACAAGGUCAGGAGGCUGCCCCCAGGUCCUCUGCCCUCCCUCUGCUGCGCCAUGUUGCUCCUGGUGAUGAUUGCCUUGUUAGGUGAUUCUGAAGCUGUUGCCUUGGCCCCUUGUGAAGCCAGACCCCUGAGAACAAGCCCCCUGCAUGCUCUCUGGCCCCUUCCCGUGGACCCCCAGGGCCAUCUGAGGGCCAGAACCUGGACAAGCACAAAUAAAACCCUUUGGUGUUUCA